rnacentral:rRNA from 1 species
GACGAACGCUGGCGGCGUGCUUAACACAUGCAAGUCGAACGGAAAGGCCCUGCUUUUGUGGGGUGCUCGAGUGGCGAACGGGUGAGUAACACGUGAGUAACCUGCCCUUGACUUUGGGAUAACUUCAGGAAACUGGGGCUAAUACCGGAUAGGAGCUCCUGCUGCAUGGUGGGGGUUGGAAAGUUUCGGCGGUUGGGGAUGGACUCGCGGCUUAUCAGCUUGUUGGUGGGGUAGUGGCUUACCAAGGCUUUGACGGGUAGCCGGCCUGAGAGGGUGACCGGCAACAUUGGGACUGAGAUACGGCCCAGACUCCUACGGGAGGCAGCAGUGGGGAAUAUUGCACAAUGGGCGGAAGCCUGAUGCAGCAACGCCGCGUGCGGGAUGACGGCCUUCGGGUUGUAAACCGCUUUCGCCUGUGACGAAGCGUGAGUGACGGUAAUAGGUAAAGAAGCACCGGCUAACUACGUG